rnacentral:rRNA from 1 species
AGCGAACGCUGGCGGCAGGCUUAACACAUGCAAGUCGAACGGGCUUCUUCGGAAGUCAGUGGCAGACGGGUGAGUAACACGUGGGAACGUGCCCUUCGGUUCGGAAUAACUCAGGGAAACUUGAGCUAAUACCGGAUACGCCCUUUUGGGGAAAGGUUUACUGCCGAAGGAUCGGCGCGCGUCUGAUUAGCUUGUUGGUGGGGUAACGGCCUACCAAGGCGACGAUCAGUAGCUGGUCUGAGAGGAUGAUCAGCCACACUGGGACUGAGACACGGCCCAGACUCCUGCGGGAGGCAGCAGUGGGGAAUAUUGGACAAUGGGCGCAAGCCUGAUCCAGCCAUGCCGCGUGAGUGAUGAAGGCCUUAGGGUUGUAAAGCUCUUUUGUCCGGGACGAUAAUGACGGUACCGGAAGAAUAAGCCCCGGCUAACUUCGUG